CUCGGCAGUCAUUGCGCAGGCACUUUGGCGACUCAAGAUAACCUCGGGCCGAUCGCACGUCCACGUGACGGAUGUCUGCCCUAUCAACUUUCGAUGAUACUUUCUGUGCCUACCAUGGUGACCACGGGUAAUGGGGAAUCAGGGUUCAAUUCUGGAG